rnacentral:sRNA from 1 species
GUAGACGAAUAUGUGGAAGAGCGUAACCUUCCGCAUCUGCCGGUAAACAG